rnacentral:rRNA from 1 species
CCCUUAGAUGUUCUGGGCCGCACGCGCGCUACACUGACGAAUGCAACGAGCUUAUAACCUUGGCCGAAAGGUCUGGGUAAUCUCCAAAUUUCGUCGUGAUGGGGAUAGAUUAUUGCAAUUAUUAAUCUUCAACGAGGAAUGCCUAGUAAGCGCAAGUCAUCAGCUUGCGUUGAUUACGUCCCUGCCCUUUGUACACACCGCCCGUCGCUCCUACCGAUUGAAUGGUCCGGUGAAGCGUUCGGACCGUGGCCUUUGGACGGUUCGCCGUCUGUUGGCUGCGGGAAGUUCGUUAAACCUUAUCAUGUAGAGGAAGGAGAAGUCGUAACA